UACGUAGGGUGCAAGCGUUGUCCGGAAUUAUUGGGCGUAAAGAGCUCGUAGGCGGUCUGUUGCGUCGGCCUGUAACGAACCGGGCUACACUCGGCGUGCGCCGAUACGGGCAGACUAGAGUCGCAGGGGAGACUGGAAUUCCUGGUGUAGCGGUGGAAUGCGCAGAUAUCAGGAGGAACACCCGGUGGCGAAGGCGGGUCACUGGCG
rnacentral:rRNA from 1 species